UACGAAGGGGGCUAGCGUUGUUCGGAUUUACUGGGCGUAAAGCGCACGUAGGCGGAUCGUUAAGUCGGGGGUGAAAUCCUGGAGCUCAACUCCAGAACUGCCUUCGAUACUGGCGAUCUUGAGUCCGGAAGAGGUGAGUGGAACUCCUAGUGUAGAGGUGGAAUUCGUAGAUAUUAGGAAGAACACCAGUGGCGGAGCGGCUCACUGGUCCGGUACUGACGCUGAGGUGCGAAAGCGUGGGGAGCAAACAGG
rnacentral:rRNA from 1 species